rnacentral:rRNA from 1 species
UGGAGAGUUUGAUCCUGGCUCAGGACGAACGCUGGCGGCGUGCUUAACACAUGCAAGUCGAACGGAAAGGCCCUUCGGGGUACUCGAGUGGCGAACGGGUGAGUAACACGUGGGUGAUCUGCCCUGCACUUUGGGAUAAGCCUGGGAAACUGGGUCUAAUACCGAAUAUGACCAUGCACUUCCUGGUGUGUGGUGGAAAGCUUUUGCGGUGUGGGAUGGGCCCGCGGCCUAUCAGCUUGUUGGUGGGGUAAUGGCCUACCAAGGCGACGACGGGUAGCCGGCCUGAGAGGGUGACCGGCCACACUGGGACUGAGAUACGGCCCAGACUCCUACGGGAGGCAGCAGUGGGGAAUAUUGCACAAUGGGCGCAAGCCUGAUGCAGCGACGCCGCGUGAGGGAUGACGGCCUUCGGGUUGUAAACCUCUUUCAGCACAGACGAAGCGCAAGUGACGGUAUGUGCAGAAGAAGGACCGGCCAACUACGUGCCAGCAGCCGCGGUA